rnacentral:misc_RNA from 1 species
UCUAUCAACUGAAAUGCCAAUCCCUGAAAGAGGAAGCUGAUUCAAUUAUACCAAAAUAAACUACACGAAACCAAAGGCAAUCAUAUGGAGGCAUUAACAGCCAAUAGAAAGAUAGUCAGGGUGAGCAAUCAGUCGGUUUAGUUCUAUACCGAAUUGGACUAAACGAUUAACCAAAGUGCAAAAAUAUAACAACUGAACUGAAAUUAUGAAUAAGACUGAACAUAAUUGAACAUAUUAGUUCAGUUUGGUUUUUCAGUUUUGGCAUUCAAUCAUGUCCCGACCUCUCUCACUUUCCUGCAUUCUCUCAAACCAAACAUUCACUAGUCAAAAUAAAAAAUAAAAAAACACAGAUUCCUUUCCCUUGCCUACAUGUUCACUCACUUUGUUUAGAUUCUUACAAAAUACUCCCAGUUAGGUUUAUUACCUUUGAUGGUCUAUAAGGAUAUAUAAACAGAAAUGCAAAACCCAUUUUCUGUGAGCCAAAAAAUAAACACAAAUUGGAGUACAUGGAUCUUUACAUAAACAGAAAUGCUUAAAUCCUAAAUACUCCAGAAUCAAAACAAGAAGCUCAAAGAAAUAACAUAGGAAACGGCAGAAAUUCAAAAUGUCAAUCAUUUGGUUUUUUUUCUGAAAGUCUCAAUUGAAAUUCAAAAAUACAAGAACCCUAAUUCGAAAAUUACAUGCUAUUGCUAAAGAAUCUACCUCUGACCCGUAAUUUUUGUGAAAGGAGGGAACCGUGGAGAUGAGUGGCUGCUGGGACUUGAGAGGAGAAAGGAUAGGGCUGUAGAUAUAGGAUGCCAGUACUUGAGCACCGAGAGGCAAGCAGCAACAGCGCAAGGAUUUUUGGUGACAACAGCACAAAGAAGCUGGACUGAAGGACUCGAGCAUCGGUGGUUUAGGGUUGAAAUGAAAACUGGACUGAUUGACUUGAAUGGUCUGGGAUUGAAAUGAAAGCUAGAGGAGGAAAAGGACUGAAGGAGUCGCAAACGGCAAAGAAAUAAUGAAAUGGAGAAGAUUGAAGCUGAUUUAGGGUUAGGGAUUUUGUAAUGACCUAAUGGGCAGUUGGGUUGGACAAGAAGCUAGCCUGGAUUAAAAAAAGGCUGCAAAAGCGCAGCCCCCUACAACCAAAAGGUCCAAAACGACAGCCCCUUAAAUUAGUCCAAAAUUUUUGGUCUGUUUGUGUUUUUUCAGUUUUUUAGCUGAGAUAACUGGACCGAAAACCAAAGUUACUGAAAAAGGAUAACUGAACUGAACUGUUUGAACUAGAAAACCAAAGUAUCCGAGGCAAAAGGCAUUGUAUUUUUCUCUCUUGUUUGGAUAGGAUAAUGAGAGAGAGAGAGAGAGGGAAAGAGAGAGAAAGGUUUCUGUGAUAACCAGCUGUUUUGGUUUAGAUUUGAGAUAAAGGAUAAAAACAAGGAAAAGAAUAAGCUGGUUCUGAGAGAGAGAGAGAG